CCAUCGCUGGAUUGUUCCUUCCACUCUUGCCCACCGUAUGAAACAACUUUUACCAGUAAAUAUCGGUUUAUUCCUGAAACCAGAAGUCCUAAACAUAUCUUUGUUUAUAAGGUCAGUCAUUUCCUGUUUCUGUCCUUCCCCAUCUAUUUACCGGUUCUAUUGUCUUUCAGGAAUGGAAAGUUUAGUGUCUUCUUUUUGCUUUUCUACUUUCCGCACUGCUAUUCUCUGGACAUAAAGUACAGAAGAAAUGUUAACCUUUGAGGAGAUAGUUUUACCCCUAGAAAUCUUACAUCCAGAGGACCGGUCCAGCAAAACAGUUUAUAACAUUGUAACUUUCCGUUUAGAUGUUUUAGAUCUUUGUAGCUAAACGUGGAACAAAUGACUAAAGUUAAUAGAGGGAGUGGAACAUUUCAAUCUUGGGCAUUAAACACCAUCUUAGAAUUUGUGAAAAAAGGUAAGAAAGAGCUAAUAGUCAAAUCCUGAACCCAAAAGAAGUUAGCCAUGUGUUUAAAAUCUGCACUCAAACUAGACCCUAAAAAUGAAGCUAUAGAGUAGUUCUAUACUGUUUGUAGCUCAUAGCUUACACAUCGCAACCCAGGUUGUGUUCUUUGUUAUUCAACUGAGUUAAAACAAGCUAGCUGGGUUUGCUUGGUCACUUCCUCUCGGCGUCUACAGCCAGUCGAAGGGCUGAACAAGGACACGCUGUCCUUGGACUAUUUAUGUCUUUUCUGCCCACAUACCAGAGUUCUCAGUCUGAACGUCACACUAAACAACCCAAGAACAACCCAUUCCUGGGUCGUAGUGGGACUUGUUUAGCCAUUCCCUCUGAGGGGAAGGAGACGGGCAAAAGCCACAGAGUCUGCCAGCUCACUGGAAGCUGGGUUUCAGAGACUGCAGCAAUAGGUCUUUUCUCAUUUUAAUCACCUGCAGUGGUGCUAAUGCCAGCACCUUUCCUUUCUCAUGAAGGCUCGAUUUUACCUUUUCUAAAAAUAUAUAUGUAUUUCCUGUACCAUUGAUCAGUGCUGUGUUACCGGCUCUGAUCUGCAAUUCAGAAUGACCUCCACAUGCCGUGGGGCUGUGAAAUCACACAUGGCCCCUCCUCGAGCUCUGUAUCACUCCUAAAUAGGGAGGUGUGUAUGUGGGGGAAUACCCCAAUAUUGGUAACUCUGCUUAGGAGACUCUGUUCACCUGUCCCAUUUAUAUAUUAUACUCAAUAUGUGGCGGUGAGGUGUGGCACAGGUGUAGAAGAGAGGUUCUGCUACCACACCAUCCAUUUUAUUUGAGCGUAUAUUUUUUUUGUUAACCCACCCAUAUAGCCUCAUGGCUAAUGGGGCAAGAUUAAAAGCAAAACAAAAUAAAAUAAAACGCAUUGCAGUCCCAAUUUUAUGAAGUUGCAAACAGGUCUCUUGUGGAGCUUUCUGUGAUAUUGGUCAUAUUAGGGAAAACCGUGCCCACUCCUGCUUAGGCAGGCCCUAACCUUGUACGUCAUCUCAAUUCAAAACUGCUUUUCCUCCAGUUUUGCAGCCUCCCCUUUUGUGAUUCUGAGUGUGCGAUAUAAUUGGUAACGACUUUAAUAUGAGCCAUUGACACUGGCACUUCUUUGGAGCAUUCAGAAGGCUUGUAGAAAACCCCUCUUGCCACUCUGGAACACGUGCAAAAUCUCUCAUUGCAAAGACGGAUUCUCUUCAGAACUGCAAUUUGAACAGUUCGUAUACUCCCAAAUACUAUUGCUAUCGAUACGAUGAGUCUUUCCUAUACAGCCAGUUAAUUUGCAAUUUCAGGUUGGAAAUAAGAUUCUAUCCAUUGUAUUUAUCACUCCCAGAUUUUACUGUCAGUAUUGUCAUUUUGUAAUAUUGUCAAUGUUUAAUGUGGAUAAUCUAUGUAAAUUAAAGUUUAUUGCAAGGGGCUCUACAUUUCCAUGCUAUAUGGGAGUCAGGAUGAUUCCAAUACAAUAUUUCUUUCUCAGAAAGGUGAAGGCAAUUCUGAGUAUCAUUCUUAAAAUGUCUAAGGCUAAAACUAAACUGCUAAAACUCUGUCGCUGUCCAAUAUCUUAAAGACUGAAGUAUUCACAGAACAGUGCAAAAUUGCUGAGCCACUUGCCGGAGGGGGUCUUGGACCCAUCCUGCUGGAGGGAUCCUGUGGGCAGCUAGUUUGCCACUGUGUGCACAGUGUGAGACUAGACGGACAAUGGGUCUGAUCCAGCAGGGCUGCUCUCACGUUCUUGCGUGUCAGGCACAAUUCCUUACAUCAUGCUAAGCUUGUUGUUCUGGCUUAACCAUCUAGGAUGUGCCGAAAGAACCCUCUCAGGCAACACCCGUCCUGCUGCCUUGCAGGACAACUUUUGCUCAAGUGGGAGACGAAGGCAGGAUUCAGCACUUAAGACAUACUUUCCCAGUACAUGCAAAGUGGAAUGAUGGUUAAGCCAGGAUGCAUAAACUAGCUUCAAACCCUGUUUCAAUGCUGGUUUCAGAUCCUGGCUUGUUCGGGAGCUCUUAAACAUAACGUCACACAUUGUGAUGAAUUCUUCCUUCUUCUCGCGCUUUGCACAGUGAUGAAUCCUUGCUUUUUCACCCAUUUACAUGAAGGAGUGAAAAGGGAGCUAAUUGCGUGCACUUGUACACUUCUUAUGUAUAUUCUAGUGCAUUGCACCAAACAGUUUGUUACUUCCGCUGCUAACACAGCCAGAAAAAGAGAAAAUAUAUACACACUUUUUACUAAACUUCAGAAAGAUCAAAAAGACUAGUCUUUCAAGUAACGUCAGAUAAAAAUUAAAAUGUUUUCCUUUACAAACACUCCUGUAGCAGUUAGGUCAACUUAGCCUGCAAUAUUUCUCUGGCUGAGGUUGCCCAAAUUCUCCCUUCUUUAUAAAUCCUGCAUUUCAACUGAACUUUCCAUAGAUGUAAUACUUCAGGAUCAGGCUUUGCCCCCCUUGUAUUUCAGGUUUGUUUUCCAGUUGAUAAGAACAAGGAAAUUUUAAUUAUUGCUUAAAAUGUCCUGUAUAUUGAAUGGGAAAGAUUCCGCGAAUUUCUCUAGAAAGAGCAAUAGUCUCUGGAAGUCCUGAGAUUUCAUUAUGCUGAAGGUUUAUGACAGGCAGAUAACCUUUUGGUAUUUUAAUUUAGGGUGUUGUUAAAUUCGUAACCAUUUUUAAACCAGAGAGCUUUACCUUUGAUACGAUGUCAAAACGCAUGAUCUGUUUGUUUGCUGCAUAAAGGAUGCAGCUCUGUGUCAGUGGGAAAGAGGCAGGUGGGGAUGGUGUGGAGAACAGCAGCCUAUUGGAUCACACCUGGUAGAAAAAGUGCACCUGAUAACCAUCCAUGUGAACCUUUCUCCAGAAUAUGAUUCUUGUGUAUAACGAUAGACAGAUACAAUCUCUUGUGUAUCUUUCUCAUGUGAGUUUUCUGAAAAGGCAAACAAAAUAAUCUCUCAAGAUGAAAGACUAAAAAUCUCUCUCAAGUCUCUGCGUAUUUUUUGCUAGGUAAUCUUUAUUAGAUGUGCCAAUAUCCAUUGUUUUUCUAUACAUUUUUAAUUAUCGUACAAGCAUAUAUUGUAAGACUGCACACUUAUUAGAAGACUGGAAUGCUGAACUAGGCAAAAUACUUGUUUUUUAUGUAAAUAGUUGCUAUUUUUGUUUUUAAUAAAACUGGUACCAGCUCUCCUAACUGUUGUAUUUUAACCUAAUGAGCAAUGUUCAGACAUCCUGUGGCUUAUGGUAUUUGUGUAAUUGUUUGUAUGUAACUACUAACUAUAAAUUGUAAGUAAGAAACAUGCUUGUUUCAUCUAUUCAAAAUAGUUUCUCUCCUGUUAUGAUAAAAGGAAUUGAUUUAUUUUUUUAAGAUGGCCAUGCAAGUGUUUCUCUGCUUUUUAAAAAUACCAGGGUGAGGAUUUUAUCUAGUUUUCACUUGAUAGACCAAAGUUACCAUUGACACUGUCUUGUAAUGCUGAUCAAAUUUAUCUCCUUUGCACUUUAAACAAAUUUUAAAAAGGGAAAAUCAAGGUGUCAAUUGCAAAUACAUUCACUGUGCAGUGGAAUGUAAUGUCAUUAGUCAGUCUGUUUAUAAAGAGGGUAUUUUCCUUUGUUGUGGGAAAGGGAGUACUUGAGCAAUGUAUUUGCUAGUUAAUAUAAAGUGUUUACAUGUAAUUACUUAAUAAAUUAUUUGAUUUUAA